UACGGAAGGUUCGGGCGUUAUCCGGAUUUAUUGGGUUUAAAGGGAGCGUAGGCCGUGGAUUAAGCGUGUUGUGAAAUGUAGAUGCUCAACAUCUGACUUGCAGCGCGAACUGGUUUACUAGAGUGUGCGCAACGUAGGCGGAAUUCGUCGUGUAGCGGUGAAAUGCUUAGAUAUGACGAAGAACUCCGAUUGCGAAGGCAGCUUACGGGAGCACAACUGACGCUGAAGCUCGAAGGUGCGGGUAUCAAACAGG
rnacentral:rRNA from 2 species